rnacentral:lncRNA from 1 species
CCAGGUCACUACUCUGAGCUUCUACAGUAAGAAAUCUCCAUCUGAGCUUCUACGACAAUUGAUCUUCGACUGAGCUUCUACAAUAAGCGGCCUCCUUUCAGCCUUCUGCAAGAACUAGGCUUCGUCCGAACUUCCAUAGCGGAUGGAUUCCGGACGAGCUGCUACAACAGACGGACUCCAGUAGCUGGACUUCUACAACAGCCGAUCGCCUCCGAUGUCUGUCGAACCUCCCCAGCCAUCAGCCUUUAAUAACGUCAGCA